rnacentral:rRNA from 1 species
GACGAACGCUGGCGGCGUGCCUAACACAUGCAAGUCGAGCGAGGUCCACUCAGUAGCAAUACUGAUGAAGACCUAGCGGCGAACGGGUGAGUAACACGUGAGAAACCUGCCCCAAAGACUGGGAUAACCCGGGGAAACCCGAGCUAAUACCGGAUACCUUCUUUUGACCGCAUGGUCAGUUGAAGAAAUGUUUUUUCGCUUUGGGAGGGUCUCGCGGCCUAUCAGUUAGUUGGUGGGGUAACGGCCUACCAAGACAUCGACGGGUAGCUGGUCUGAGAGGACGAUCAGCCACACUGGGACUGAGACACGGCCCAGACUCCUACGGGAGGCUG